CAGGCUUAACACAUGCAAGUCGAGGGGUAACAUAGAGGAGCUUGCUUUUCUGAUGACGACCGGCGCACGGGUGCGUAACGCGUAUAGAAUCUACCUUAUACUGAGGGAUAGCCUUUGGAAACGAAGAUUAACACCUCAUAGUAUGAUUAAUUGGCAUCAAUAUAUCAUUAAAGGUUACGGUAUAAGAUGACUAUGCGUUCUAUUAGCUAGAUGGUGUGGUAACGGCACACCAUGGCUACGAUAGAUAGGGGCCCUGAGAGGGGGAUCCCCCACACUGGUACUGAGACACGGACCAGACUCCUACGGGAGGCAGCAGUGAGGAAUAUUGGACAAUGGAGGCAACUCUGAUCCAGCCAUGCCGCGUGCAGGAAGACUGCCCUAUGGGUUGUAAACUGCUUUUAUACAGGAAGAAACCGCUCUACGUGUAGAGCUCUGACGGUACUGUAAGAAUAAGGAUCGGCUAACUCCGUGCCAGCAGCCGCGGUAAUACGGAGGACCCGAGCGUUAUCCGGAAUCAUUGGGGUUUAAAGGGUCCGUUAGGUGGAUAAUUAAGUCAGAAGUGAAAAGUUUGCGGCUCAACCGUAAAAAUUGCCUUUGAUACUGGUUAUCUUGAAUUAUUGUGAAGUAGUUAGAAUAUGUAGUGUAGCGGUGAAAUGCAUAGAUAUUACAUAGAAUACCAAUUGCGAAAGGCAGAUUACUAACAAUAUAUUGACACUGAUGGACGAAAGCGUGGGUAGCGAACAGGAUUAGAUACCCUGGUAGUCCACGCCGUAAACGAUGGUCACUAGCUGUUCGAACUUCGGUUUGAGUGGCUAAGCGAAAGUGAUAAGUGACCCACCUGGGGAGUACGUUCGCAAGAAUGAAACUCAAAGGAAUUGACGGGGGCCCGCACAAGCGGUGGAGCAUGUGGUUUAAUUCGAUGAUACGCGAGGAACCUUACCAGGGCUUAAAUGUAAAUUGACAGGUUUAGAGAUAGACUUUUCUUCGGACAAUUUACAAGGUGCUGCAUGGUUGUCGUCAGCUCGUGCCGUGAGGUGU
rnacentral:rRNA from 1 species